rnacentral:rRNA from 1 species
GAUGAACGCUAGCGACAGGCUUAACACAUGCAAGUCGAGGGGCAGCGGAGGUGAGUGCUUGCACUUGCCAGACGGCGACCGGCGCACGGGUGAGUAACACGUAUGCGACCUGCCCGUAGCAGGGGAAUAAGCGGAAGAAAUUCCGUCUAAUACCGCGUAAUAUCUUUCGGGGGCAUUCCUGAGGGAUUAAAGGAAGUGAUUCCGGCUACGGAUGGGCAUGCGGCGCAUUAGCUAGUCGGCGGGGUAACGGCCCACCGAGGCGACGAUGCGUAGGGGUUCUGAGAGGAAGGUCCCCCACACUGGUACUGAGACACGGACCAGACUCCUACGGGAGGCAGCAGUGAGGAAUAUUGGUCAAUGGGCGAGAGCCUGAACCAGCCAAGUCGCGUGAGGGAAGACGGUCCUAUGGAUUGUAAACCUCUUUUGUCGGGGAGCAAAAAGGCCUCGUGAGGCCACAAGCGAGAGUACCCGAAGAAAAAGCAUCGGCUAACUCCGUGCCAGCAGCCGCGGUAAUACGGAGGAUGCGAGCGUUAUCCGGAUUUAUUGGGUUUAAAGGGUGCGUAGGCGGACUGGAAAGUCAGCGGUAAAAUCGAGAGGCUCAACCUCUUUCCGCCGUUGAAACUGUCGGUCUUGAGUGGGCGAGAAGUAUGCGGAAUGCGUGGUGUAGCGGUGAAAUGCAUAGAUAUCUCGCAGAACUCCGAUUGCGAAGGCAGCAUACCGGCGCCCGACUGACGCUGAGGCACGAAAGCGUGGGUAUCGAACAGGAUUAGAUACCCUGGUAGUCCACGCAGUAAACGAUGAAUACUAAUUGUCCGGUCAGAAAGAUGACUGGGUGAUACAGCGAAAGCGUUAAGUAUUCCACCUGGGGAGUACGCCGGCAACGGUGAAACUCAAAGGAAUUGACGGGGGCCCGCACAAGCGGAGGAACAUGUGGUUUAAUUCGAUGAUACGCGAGGAACCUUACCCGGGCUCAAACGUAGAGAGACAGACGGUGAAAGCCGUUCUCCCUUCGGGGCAGUCUACGAGGUGCUGCAUGGUUGUCGUCAGCUCGUGCCGUGAGGUGUCGGCUUAAGUGCCAUAACGAGCGCAACCCCCAUCUACAGUUGCUAACAGGUUAAGCUGAGGACUCUGUGGAGACUGCCGGCGCAAGCUGUGAGGAAGGCGGGGAUGACGUCAAAUCAGCACGGCCCUUACGUCCGGGGCGACACACGUGUUACAAUGGCAGGUACAGCGGGAAGCCAUAUGGCGACAUAGAGCGGAACCCGAAAACCUGUCUCAGUUCGGAUUGGAGUCUGCAACUCGACUCCAUGAAGCUGGAUUCGCUAGUAAUCGCGCAUCAGCCACGGCGCGGU